rnacentral:ncRNA from 2 species
UUCUUAUCUAGAGAAGCGGAGGGACUGGCCCUAUGAAGCUCGACAACCGGCAUUAUACUUAUAAUGCAUCGGUGUCAAUUCCUGCAGAAUAAAUUAUAUUUAUUCUGAAAGAUAGGAA